rnacentral:rRNA from 1 species
AUUGAACGCUGGCGGCAGGCCUAACACAUGCAAGUCGAACGAGUGGCGGACGGGUGAGUAAUGUCUGGGACACUGCCUGAUGGAGGGGGAUAACUACUGGACACGGUAGCUCAUACCGCAUACCAUCGGAUGUGCCCAGAUGGGAUUAGCUAGUAGGGGGGGUAACGGCUCACCUAGGCGACGAUCCCUAUCUGGUCUGAGAGGAUGACCAGCCACACUGGAACUGAGACACGGCCCAGACUCCGACGGGAGGCAGCAGUGGGGAAUAUUGCACAAUGGGCGCAAGCCUGAUGCAGACAUGCCGCGUGUAUGAAGAAGGCCUUCGGGUUGUAAAGUACUUUCAGCGGGGAGGCGUUACCCGCAGAAGAAGCACCGGCUAACUCCGUGCCAGCCGCCGCGGUAAUUC